AGACACCGUUGCUUGCAAAAUUCCACCCAGAAGAUAAGGGAGGGAGUAUCGCUGCAGCGUCCUGCUCUGUGCCUGGUUAUAUUACUGGAUCCUUGUGUUGCAGCCCUAAGAUAGAAGGAUUGUCUCCAUUUCACAGAUGAGAGAGAACUGAUGCGCAGGAGGCUGAAAUUGUCUGAAGUCACACAGCAGCCUCCUCUUAAACAUGACAAAGAAUCCAAGGACUUGUGCUGGGGCUGUCAGCUGCUAUUCUGGUGCCCUGGGGACGAAGAAGGGAUCUGGAGGGAAGACUGUCACCCUCUUGCGAAUGUUUCCAAGAAGCAGCUCAGCAUGGGAGAGAAAAGGGGAGAUCCCAGUUCCAGGAACACCUGGCCAGUGUUUCACCUGUUUAUCGGAGUUGACAGGACCAGCCAGCCCUUUCCCACCUCUCCCCAUCAUGAUGGAUGGGAGCCUGGCCUUUGAGAAAGCACAGAACGUGGCACGUUGGAGGAAAUCAGUAAGUGUUUGCUAAAGGUCCAACAAUGAAACAGAACAGAUAUAUCCAGUGCUAUGCCGCGUCAAAAGAGUAUGAGAGGUAUUGUGGUGAUGCUUUUGAAUGCUAAUCAGAAUAAGGAGGGUGACUAGUCCAUAGUUAUAUAGAAUAUAGGAUAUACAGAAUAUACCUUUUUCUGUAACGGGAUGUGUCACUUAACUUUGUUCCUUAAAGCUCCAGAAGCCCAAGGUCACCCACAAUGAUUCAAGUAUUAUCAAUGUUGAGAGCCUGUAAAAGCAUCAAGUAUAUUAUAGUUUCCAAAAAAUUGUGAAUUAGACUGAAAACCAGCAUUUAAAAAAUAAAGUGAUGUUG
rnacentral:lncRNA from 1 species